UACGAAGGGGGCUAGCGUUGCUCGGAAUCACUGGGCGUAAAGGGUGCGUAGGCGGGUCUUUAAGUCAGGGGUGAAAUCCUGGAGCUCAACUCCAGAACUGCCUUUGAUACUGAAGAUCUUGAGUUCGGGAGAGGUGAGUGGAACUGCGAGUGUAGAGGUGAAAUUCGUAGAUAUUCGCAAGAACACCAGUGGCGAAGGCGGCUCACUGGCCCGAUACCUGACGCUGAGGCACGAAAGCGUGGGAGCAAACAGGG
rnacentral:rRNA from 1 species